rnacentral:rRNA from 1 species
UACAGAGGUCCCAAGCGUUGUUCGGAUUCACUGGGCGUAAAGGGUGCGUAGGUGGCCAGGUAAGUCUGACGUGAAAUCUCCGAGCCUAACUCGGAAACUGCAUCGGAUACUAUCUGGCUUGAGGGUUGGAGGGGGGACUGGAAUACUUGGUGUAGCAGUGAAAUGCGUAGAUAUCAAGUGGAACACCAGUGGCGAAGGCGAGUCCCUGGACAACUCCUGACACUGAGGCACGAAAGCUAGGGGAGCAAACAGG